rnacentral:rRNA from 1 species
UAUCUAUGGUGGCGACCGGCGCACGGGUGCGUAACGCGUAUGCAACCUACCUUUAACAGGGGGAUAACACUGAGAAAUUGGUACUAAUUCCCCAUAACAUUCGAGAAGGCAUCUUCUUGGGUUAAAAACUCCGGUGGUUAAAGAUGGGCAUGCGUUGUAUUAGCUAGUUGGUGAGGUAACGGCUCACCAAGGCAACGAUACAUAGGGGGACUGAGAGGUUAACCCCCCACAUUGGUACUGAGACACGGACCAA